AUCGUAAAGAGCUGGGGAGGUGAUGGAGGAUGGUCGGAAAGAAAGAAAAAAAUUAGAAAGAGGGUUGCGGCACGGCAUUGGCGGAGUCGGAGGCGAGGAAGGCGGGGGUGCACAGGCGAGGGUAAGAGUGCGCCGGACAGAGGCGAGGCAAGUUGCCUCUGCCUCCGUUGCCCCGUGGGGAGAGAAAGAAAGAAAAAAAUAACAAGAGAGAAAAAAAGAGAAGAAAGAAAAGAAAAUAAGAGUAUUUUAGUUAGUUUUUUGAAAAUUCGACCUAAAUUUGUAAAAUUAAAAAAGAUAACCUAUUUUUGUAAAAGCUCAAAACUAGUAGAUUUUCAAUACAAAUUGGCCUUAAAAAAAAAAAAAAAAAAAAAAAA
rnacentral:lncRNA from 1 species